rnacentral:rRNA from 1 species
UACGGAGGGAGCUAGCGUUGUUCGGAAUUACUGGGCGUAAAGCGCGCGUAGGCGGCUUUGUAAGUUAGAGGUGAAAGCCCGGAGCUCAACUCCGGAACUGCCUUUAAGACUGCAUCGCUUGAAUCCAGGAGAGGGUGAGUGGAAUUCCGAGUGUAGAGGUGAAAUUCGUAGAUAUUCGGAAGAAGCACCAGUGGCGGAAGGACGGC